rnacentral:rRNA from 1 species
CAGUCGCCGCGGUAAUCCGAAGGGUGCAAGCGUUAAUCGGAAUUACUGGGCGUAAAGCGUGCGUAGGCGGUGAGUUAAGUCUGUUGUGAAAUCCCCGGGCUCAACCUGGGAAUGGCAAUGGAUACUGGCAAGCUAGAGUGUGUCAGAGGAUGGUGGAAUUCCCGGUGUAGCAGUGAAAUGCGUAGAGAUGUGGAGGAACACCGAUGGCGAAGGCGGCCAUCUGGGACAACACUGACGCUGAGGCACGAAAGCGUGGGGAGCAAACAGGAUUAGAGACCCCCGUAGUCCCUGUCUCUUAUAC